rnacentral:rRNA from 1 species
GACGAACGCUGGCGGCGUGCUUAACACAUGCAAGUCGAACGGAAAGGCCCUGCUUUUGUGGGGUGCUCGAGUGGCGAACGGGUGAGUAACACGUGAGUAACCUGCCCUUGACUUUGGGAUAACUUCAGGAAACUGGGGCUAAUACCGGAUAGGAGCUCCUGCUGCAUGGUGGGGGUUGGAAAGUUUCGGCGGUUGGGGAUGGACUCGCGGCUUAUCAGCUUGUUGGUGGGGUAGUGGCUUACCAAGGCUUUGACGGGUAGCCGGCCUGAGAGGGUGACCGGCCACAUUGGGACUGAGAGACGGCCCAGACUCCUACGGGAGGCAGCAGGGGGAAAUAGUGCACAAUGGGCGGAAGCCUGAUGCAGCAACGCCGCGUGCGGGAUGACGGCCUUCGGGUUGAAAACCGCUUUCGCCUGUGACGAAGCGUGAGUGACGGUAAUGGGUAAAGAAGCACCGGCUAACUACGUG